rnacentral:lncRNA from 1 species
AAUUCAUGUUUUUUACUUAGUAAGGUAAUCUGCUCUCUAUUUAGGAUUUCACAUUUAGCUUGCAUCGAGGGCAGUAGAUAAUAUUGUUGAGCAAAAGACGUGAACUAUUGCUUUGUGUUAUGCAUGAAAAAGUUUGUAUGUGGACGAAACGACACCUUUAAUGUUGGUCACAAUGACCAAUUUAAAUGGAGAUUUGACACAAUGCGAUGAGAAUGAACAAAUUGAUGUGUGGACCAAAAUAGUAAGGAGUACAUUGAUUGAUUUGAAAAUUCAAGAACUCAAAUGAGAACUUUUGAAACGCUCAGGACCAUUCGUAAUGAAAUCCCCUUAAUAGUUUUUAGUAGUGAAGUUUCUUUUUUUCUUUCUCUGUGGGCACACAAGCAAAAUAAAAACAAA